UACGGGGGGAGCAAGCGUUGUUCGGAUUUACUGGCGUAAAGGGCGCGUAGGCGGUCAGCACAAGUCAGUUGUGAAAUCUCCGGGCUUAACUCGGAAAGGUCAACUGAUACUGUGCGACUAGAGUGCGGAAGGGGCAACUGGAAUUCUUGGUGUAGCGGUGAAAUGCGUAGAUAUCAAGAGGAACACCUGCGGCGAAGGCGGGUUGCUGGGCCGACACUGACGCUGAGGCGCGAAAGCCAGGGGAGCGAACGGG
rnacentral:rRNA from 1 species